UACGUAGGGUGCGAGCGUUUGUCCGGAAUUACUGGGCGUAAAGAGCUCGUAGGUGGUUUGUCGCGUUGUCCGUGAAAACUCACAACUCAAUUGUGGGCGUGCGGGCGAUACGGGCAGACUGGAGUACUGCAGGGGAGACUGGAAUUCCUGGUGUAGCGGUGGAAUGCGCAGAUAUCAGGAGGAACACCGGUGGCGAAGGCGGGUCUCGUGGGCAGUGAACUGACGCUGGAGGAGCGAAAGCGUGGGGAGCGAACAGGG
rnacentral:rRNA from 1 species